AAAACACACAAAUCCAAUGUUUUCAUCUUCAGCCAUGAUAAAGCAAAUAAAACAUAAGUUUAGUUCUAAGGUUUACAUCUUAGUUCAUAAUAGAUAUGUUCUGAUUUUUUAAUCAAGUUUUGAAAUAAGAUUGCAUGUUUUUCCUAAAACUGUAUCUUUAACAAAAUUAUUUUGUAUCAACUUAAUUAAUAACCAAAUCAGUUGAUUUUUUUCUGCUAACUUUAAAAUGUCCUUUCCAUUUUCACUCCACAGGGUCCUUUGGAUACAAGAAAAAAUUCUCUUUCAGUGUCUGAGAAUAUUUUGUAUUAACAUUUUCUUGUCAAAUUCAACUCAUAGCAAUCAGCACUGCUUUCUGAUAACAAAGAAGGAAUCCAAAACUAUCAUCAUUUCCCUUUGUAUACUUAAAAAAUAAAUGCAAGGCCUCUUCUGUUAUUGCUAUCACUGUAGAGACGAAUACUAAAAACAUUCAUAUAAACAAUAGAACGCGCAGCUUCAUCUGAAGCCAGGCUUAGAGGCGUGUAGUAAAAAGGGAGUGUUGUCUUGACAAAUGAUGAAUCACAUUGCAUGGGUCACGUGACUGCUUCAUUUUGUGUGUCGGUUUUCAAAAUAAAAGAGUGAUGAGUCAUAAAUGUCAUGCUUCAUGGCAUGGGUUACUGUAUUUGAUUGCGCAUCAGAGGAGUAUUUGUUUUCAGCAGUGGCCAAAAUAUAAGGAACGUUUUAUAGUUUAUGUGUCAGGGUUCCUGUGUGCGUGUGUGCGAGUGCGAGUAACACAUCUCUUCCAGCGAGGAUCUUGGUGGAGAGACUGGGCAGCCUUCACAGGUGGAGCUCAUCAGCCUCAUCAGAGUGCUGGGGAUAAAGGAGCAGCAGAGCCUUCACUCAGCGCUGGAUGAUUAAUGUCUACUGGUAGUCACUCUGGCCACCUCUUGUUGUCGGUUAUUUUUAGCUUUUGAUCAGUCUCUUGAGAACCUACCUGAAGUUCAUAGUUCUUGUUUUUGCUUCCUUUAGGUUUUUGUCACUGGAUCUCUCUAGAAGAAUCAGUUCAACCGUUUUCUCCUCCUGUGAAACUCUCCAGCAAGUACCUACCUGCCUGCCUGCUCCACCGUUCCCCCUCAUCUCCACACAGGACCCCUGGGCACCUUUCUUCCACUCUUCACCAAGUCCAUUCAAAAACGCCACGGAUUGCAUGACACUGCUGCUCCCUGAUACAUCAAGGAAACCUGUAAAUUGUUGCUUGUUGUUUGAAAGAAAUAAAACCUAUACUUAAUUGAA